AGGGUAUACCCAGCCCUCUUCUGUUCCUUCUCUUCUUCACUCCUUAACCUUCUUAUACCUGAAAUCCAUGCAUAUAUUGUUGCUCAUAUGCUGCCUUUUCUUGUGCCUAGGAACAUCUGCCCAACAGCUAGAUUCCUCCUUCAGCACAAAUGGCACAUUGGAAAUAUUUGAGGUUGAUUUCAGGGACCCUUCUCUGGACUUGAAACACAGAGGAGUCCUUUCUGCCUU
rnacentral:lncRNA from 1 species